rnacentral:rRNA from 1 species
GUAGGGGGCGAGCGUUGUCCGGAUUUAUUGGGCGUAAAGCGCUCGCAGGUGGUCCGUCGCGUCGUGCGUGAAAGACCCCGGCUCAACCGGGGGGCGUCGUGCGAUACGGGCGGACUGGAGGCCAGUAGGGGGAUGCGGAAUUCCGGGUGUAGUGGUGGAAUGCGUAGAGAUCCGGAGGAACACCAGCGGCGAAGGCGGCAUCCUGGACUGGUCCUGACACUCAGGAGCGAAAGCGUGGGGAGCGAUCCGGAUUAGAUACCCGGGUAGUCCACGCCGUAAACGAUGCGCACUAGGUGUCGGGGGUAUCGACCCCCUCGGUGCCGCAGCCAACGCGAUAAGUGCGCCGCCUGGGGACUACGGCCGCAAGGCUAAA